UACGUAGGGUGCGAGCGUUAAUCGGAAUUACUGGGCGUAAAGUGUGCGCAGGCGGCGUUGCAAGUCGAGUGUGAAAUCCCCGAGCUUAACUUGGGAAUUGCGCUCGAAACUACGAUGCUCGAGUGUGGCAGAGGAAGGUGGAAUUCCACGUGUAGCGGUGAAAUGCGUAGAGAUGUGGAGGAACACCGAUGGCGAAGGCAGCCUUCUGG
rnacentral:rRNA from 1 species